rnacentral:lncRNA from 1 species
GUUUUGGCAUAGUUUGAGAUACAUGCUCUAAAGGAGGACAAGUCUCUUCAAUUGAUAGUCUCAACAGCCCUCCUUGAAAUAAGAUACCAAUAAUUCCUCAGGGUAAAUAUUGAGCAGCUGUUAUCACACCAAGGGAUAUGGAUGUUGGCCAGGCACAAACAACUGUGGUGAUAAUGAUACUGAUAAUGACAUUUCUUGUGAAACUUUCACAGUAACAGGUACUAGGAUAAGCACUGAAGUACAUUAUUACAUUUCUCCCUCCUCCAAAAUCCAAAAAAGCAGUCAUUAUCUCCAGUUUAUGGAUGACAAAUCUGAAGCUACAAGCUAAGUAACUUGUCCAAGAUUUCAUUGUUAAUCUGUUUAGGAAGUGGGAUUUCAAUAAAGGCCAUUGUGUUGCCAAAAUUAUAUUCUUUAUAAAAAUAAUUUAAAAUAUUUUUAAAGUUGUUGAAGUUACAUUGAAUUUUUAUGAAUAAACAUAAAAG